AAAGAUUUGGUUAUAUUUCCAAUCAAGUAGCCGUUGCCAAACACGGUCCACGAAGAUUCUUCCCCGCGCUACAAACCUACAACCCUAAAUUCCCAAACACAUCCGCGUUCUCUCGACUCUCCGCUUUCUCCGUGGGAAUCCGAUCUCAGUUAACCGUACGACAAUGGUCAUCUUUUCAUUGAACGAAGAAACAUUGAAGAAAGUCCUGUGUCAGGUUGAGUUUUACUUCAUUGAUAGCAAUCUUCCGGGAGACAGGUCUCUCAUGAGAUCGAACCCCCCAGGCGGAAGUAUCUUUCUAUUUCAGUCCUUCUAAGUUCUCGUCUUCGAGUUCUGUCGCUUAGGGCUUGGAAACAAUUUUCUCGUCUUGUACAACAAGAGUUGCUUCGAUUUUGGCUCUAAAAACAACAAACGGAACAAAUUCAGUUUAUGUCUGUUGUGAAGUAACAAGAAGCAGCUUAUAGGGCCCCUGCCACUGCAGCAUUUCUUGAAGAACAAGUAGGUGGUCUGAUUAUUUCACUGCUUCCUUAGAAGCAGUUACUGGUAGGUGACCCUUACGAGUUGAACUGUUUCUCUUCAUUUGACUUUGCCUCUGCUGCAUGGUACUAGUAUCUGCAUCAUGCUAGGUUCCUGCUCCAUGGAGAUUUUGAAUCUAAGGGCAUACUUCUUAUGUGGCUACAAUUAGUGGCUUCAUUGUUAUCUCCUGUCCUAAAUCUUGAGUAUGAGGACUUGAACAUCAGUAAACACCAUUGUUUAUGUACAUAAUACUCGGGGUUUGUACUCCAUACCUAGGUUUUGAGUCUUCUCUUGGGCAUGGCUUCACCUUAUUGUCUAUUAAAAGAAUUAGAGGCCACAAACUUUAUUCAUCUGACAGUUAAUCAGAAUUAAAAAUGAUCUCGGACCAUAGGUUUUACCAUGUUCUUUCAGGACCUGAGAAAUUUAUGAAGAGCAAUAGCAAGCUGUCAAAUUAGAUAGUAAAACUUGCCUGAUCAUGAAAAUUCUCAGUGGGCAACUCUUGAGAAAGUUUGGCUUUUUGAAACUCAAAUACAAAAUGAGCUGGCUAAUAAUGCUUGUGGGUGAGGCUGAAAGGAAGUAUUGGAAAUCAUGUUUGGGUAAAGAUUCAGAAAGUAGAUGUAGUCGGAAAUGGUAUCCACAUGAUGUGAUGUUUUUUCUUUGUGGAUAAUUAUCUUUGUUUUUGUUUUCCUGUUAUUCCAAUUAUUUUGUGAACUUGAGUUUUUUAUCUGAUAGGCUUAAACUUCACUUUCUCAUUUAUGCUAUAGAGGAGAGGCAAACCUAAAAGAAAAGAAGAAAAUUGUGAAGGGUACAGCUGAAGAGACAUACUAAGGAUGCAGCCAGGUGCCCCGAAAGACGUGGCUGGUGGUAACUAAUCUCCGGUAUUGUAUUAUAUCAUUAAGGCCUUGCUUGGGUCGAUUUCUGAGAAAUAAAAAACUCUUUUUAAGCUCGGUAAGAACUCCUAUGCUUAUUUGACUAAUUUUGUUUAAAGAGUUAUGACUUACAAAAGAGUUUAAUAAGAAAGUUAGGAAAAUAUUGCUUUUUGUAGAAGCUUUAUUUUGAUUUUUGCAGGGAGUUUGCUGUAAAAAUUGUGACUUUCGCUUCAGUUUCAGCUUCAGCUUCAGCACCCAGUAAAAGUCAAAAAUAGUAAGCUAUCCCAAAUAAAGCCUAAGUUCAGUUAACCGAAGUUGGCUCUAGUUUUAUGCUCGAUCUACUUUAAUCCAACCAUUUUUACUGAAAUGACCAACCAAAAAAAAAAAGUGUUGAGACUAUAAACUUGCAGGGAAACCAAAAAUUAGAUCAGUCUUUUGAGGAAUAGACGAAAUAAGAUUCAUGACCAUGUGUGAAACUAUAGAAGUUGUGGAAUGUUGUAUGGAAAACGAGUGAUACAUCCUCUCUUUUUCUGUAUUCUAAGCAGAGGUCUCUUUUCUCUUUUUCUUAAAUUAUGGGAAGUGAUCAUUAUUUUCUAGGGUAGCUAGCCCUCCCUUUCUUGACCUUUCAACUAGAAGACAAAUGAAAGAUAAUCAAGGUAGGGACCAUGACAUAGAUCAUAGAUGUAGAACAAAGGAAAAAACAAAUAUAGUGUUUGUACUUGGUCGACUUGUAGUUUUCUUAUUGGUGGGCAAUGAGUUACUUGGAGUAUUUACAUUUGCUGCCCAAGCUAGAUAAUGGAAUGAAGACGGGUGUUCGUUAGGAAAUUUUCUUUCCAAGCUUUGGGUUGUCUUUAUACUACAUUUCAACAAAGCCUCAUCCAAUAUGCUGGGCUACACUUCUACCUAAAACUUUUCUACCAUCAGCUCUAUCGAGACGGUCAUAUCCUGGGUUGAGUGCUUUGUUGAAAUGGCCUGUAGUACUUUGCUGUGAUGAUCAGAAAUUAUUUUCGAGUUUUCGAACAGAGAAAAGGACCAUGAAAAAUUGAGCUUUGUAGUGACCAGGCCGGAAUGAUGCCAAAGGCCAAGCAGCCAGUCAGGCUGAAAGCAGCAUUCCUUGUUCCUUUUCAAGAUGUUCAUUUGACUACAUGUGUUAUUUUUGUCAAAAUUGCUCAAGUCGUUGCUUCUCGGAAGGCACUCAGAUAAGCUUUUGUUAAAUGCUUAUUGGGCCGCCGUGGAAUGGUGGUGGUGGUGGGCACGACAAGAAGUAUAUUAUAUCUAAUCAAAGCCAAAAUUCAAAAGAUAAAUCAAAAUUUCAGGAUUAGGGUUUGUUGCAAUGAAUUGAUUUUGUAGCUUCAUUUUCUAGAUGAUGUAACGCAUUCAGAGUAUCCUACUGAUAUUUCUACAGAAGCAAAUAUCUCAGAUUCUUCUUUGA